rnacentral:rRNA from 1 species
GAUGAACGCUGGCAGAAUGCUUAACACAUGCAAGUCAACUGUGGCGGACGGGUGAGUAACGCGUAAAGAACUUGCCUCACAGCUAGGGCCAACAUUUGGAAACGAAUGCUAAUACCUGAUACUGUGAGAGAGCUUUGCGUCCCAUUAGCUAGUUGGAGAGGUCACGGCUCACCAAGGCGAUGAUGGGUAGCCGGCCUGAGAGGGUGAUCGGCCACAAGGUGACGGAGACACGGCCCUUAUGCAUACGGGAGGCAGCAGUGGGGAAUAUUGGACAAUGGACCAAAGUCUGAUCCAGCCAUUCUGUGUGCACGAUGAAUUUGUCGGAAUGUAAAGUGCUUUCAGUUGGUAAGCGGUACCAACAGAAGAAGUAACGGCUAACUACGUGCCAGCAGCCGCGGUAAUUC